UAGCCGUAAACGAUACUCGCUAGGUGUCGGCCACGGUGCGACCGUUGUCGGUGCCGUAGGGAAGCCGUGAAGCGAGCCACCUGGGAAGUACGGCCGCAAGGCUGAAACUUAAAGGAUUGGCGGGGGAGCACAACAACGGGUGGAGCUUGCGGUUAAUUGGAUUCAACGCCGGAAAUCUUACCGGGACCGGACAGCAACAUGAAGGCCAAGCUGAAGACUUUGCCGGAUUAGCUGAGAGGUGGUGCAUGGCGUAGUCGUGU
rnacentral:rRNA from 1 species